ACUAAGUAGACACUACAGGCAUCAGGAUUAAAUGGCUAAAAGUUAAGAUGAAAAACCAGAAAGACAUACAUAUAAUGCAGAUACUGAAGACAGACAAGACUUUCAAGUAAUUAUAAUUAAAAUGUUUAAGAAAAUAGGUAACAAGAAUUUUGCCAGAAACUGUAUCUUUAAAAAAAUGGAAAUUCUAAAUUGAAAAAAAUGUAAUAAAAUGAAGUCCUGAAAAAGUGGAUUUAACUGCAGAAUGGAAGAUUAGUGAACUGAAAGAUCAGAAGAAAAUAUAUAGGUUGGUACAGAGGAAAAAGGAUGAAAAACAGAAAACAGCAUGGGAAAUAGUGCAACUUUUUUUUUAACCAGACUCCAAGAAGAAAAAGGAAUGUGGCAGAACAACUGUUUAAAUUAGAUACUAAACAUUUAAACAGAUACUAACCAAGAGUUUUCUAAAACUGACAAAGAACAUCAGGUCUCAGAUUGAUGAAGCACUACAAACCUAAGGAUAAUUUUUUUUUUAAUUUAUAGUUGGUACAUUUUAGUUUUCCCACUAAAAAUAUAAGGAAAAAUCUCAAAGCAUCCAGAGAAAGUUGUGUGAGAUACAUUACCUCUAAGAGAAAAGACAAAGAUACAUUACCUCUAAAACAGAAACAAUUUGAAUGACAACGAAAAUGUUGGAAGGCAGAAAACCAUCUUUAAAAUGGCAAAAUAACUGCCAAUCUUGAAUUUAAUAUCCAGCAAAACAUUUUCAUAAAUAAAUGUAAAGCAAUAAAUACCACAGUGAGAUCCAGCUAUGAAAAGAUGGUGUAAAAAUUAAUUACCACAUGGAUAGUCACUAGAAUAACUUUGUGUCACUAAGACAUCUUUCUAAGUAAUGCAGUAUUAAAAGUUAGAAGUUUAAUACAAGGAAAUGGAGUGCUUAGAGAUCUCUUAAUAUUGAAAAUAAUCUGGAAAAAUUGCACAGCUGUGCAACUAAAGCCAUGCAAGAAAACAGCAUUGCCAUCCAACAUUCGUUCAGCAUCAGGCUGAGCAUGCGCACUAAUCACCUACUGCACAAGGUGGCUGUUAACUUUCACAUUAGUCUUCUUCUAAAUGCUAAAGGUCAGCAUAUCAGGUUCUAUGUGUACACAAAGCAGGAAAUGUUCAAUGCCUGGCAUUAAUUUGAUAAUAAAGAAAAAGAUAUUAACAUUCAUUUAUAAUUUCCCCUUUUGUCCUCUGGUAUUUGCAUCCUAUGGUAAUACAUAAUUUAUCAACCUAUUUUUCUACUUGUCCUAUUAUAUGGUACAGAUGUCUUCUCAUUUCCUUGAAAUGUACUUUGUUAAUGCUAUUUGCCUUGGCAUUCAGUCUUUCUCACUAAGUGCUUCUCUAUUUCACAGGAAGGCACUUUAAAAAAAAUAGUUAAUAAUAAAGUAGCAUACUUUGAAAAAAAAAUUUUUGUUGUUGUUUUUGGUUUAGUUUUGUUUGAGACCGGGCCUCACUCUGCCAUGGGUGUAGUGGUACAGUCAGCUCACUGCAACAUCCUGGCAGUUGUGAGCCUGGGCUCAGACAAUCCUCAUACCUCACUCUCCUGAGUAGGUAGGACCACAGGUGUGCAUCACCACACCUGGCUAAUUUUUUAAUUUUUUAAAGAGACGGGGUUUGCCAUGUAGGCCCAGGCUGGUCUCCAACCCCUGAGCUUAAGCGAUCAGCCCACCUUGGGCUCCCGAAGUGCUGGGAUUACAGGCGUGAGCCACUGCGCCCAGUCUUAAAAGAAAAAUCUGUUUUCUAAAUGAGAGACUUGAGUUUAGUUCUCAUGAACAUAACUUUUUCAUACUAGGUUUCAGACCUGGUAUCAUUAAAUAUAAUUCAUUACAAAGACUUUUUCUAAUGUCUUCAAAUUCUUUAAGUCACCUUCAACAAGAAACUGUACAAGAAGCAAGCUACAACCUUACAGCAAGUGAUAUUGCAAUAUUCAUCUUAAUACUUC
rnacentral:lncRNA from 10 species